CCUACGGGCGACAGCAGUGAGGAAUAUUGGUCAAUGGACGAGAGUCUGAACCAGCCAAGUAGCGUGAAGGAUGACUGCCCUAUGGGUUGUAAACUUCUUUUAUAUGGGAAUAAAAUGUUCCACGUGUGGGAUUUUGUAUGUACCAUAUGAAUAAGGAUCGGCUAACUCCGUGCCAGCAGCCGCGGUAAUACGGAGGAUCCGAGCGUUAUCCGGAUUUAUUGGGUUUAAAGGGAGCGUAGGUGGAUUGUUAAGUCAUGUGUGAAAGUUUGCGGCUCAACCGUAAAAUUGCAGUUGAAACUGGCAGUCUUGAGUACAGGAGAGGUGGGCGGAAUUCGUGGUGUAGCGGUGAAAUGCUUAGAUAUCACGAAGAACUCCGAUUGCGAAGGCAGUUCACUGGACUGAAACUGACACUGAGGCUCGAAAGUGUGGGUAUCAAACAGGAUUAGAUACCCGAGUAGUC
rnacentral:rRNA from 1 species